rnacentral:rRNA from 1 species
AGAGUUUGAUCAUGGCUCAGAUUGAACGCUGGCGGCAGGCCUAACACAUGCAAGUCGAACGGUAACAGGAAGCAGCUUGCUGCUUCGCUGACGAGUGGCGGACGGGUGAGUAAUGUCUGGGAAACUGCCUGAUGGAGGGGGAUAACUACUGGAAACGGUAGCUAAUACCGCAUAAUGUCGCAAGACCAAAGAGGGGGACCUUCGGGCCUCUUGCCAUCGGAUGUGCCCAGAUGGGAUUAGCUUGUUGGUGGGGUAACGGCUCACCAAGGCGACGAUCCCUAGCUGGUCUGAGAGGAUGACCAGCCACACUGGAACUGAGACACGGUCCAGACUCCUACGGGAGGCAGCAGU